AGCCACCCAUCCCUUUUGGGUGACAAUAUUCCACUGUGAGGGUUUUGCCCUCAUUGUGACCACUGCUGGCUCUGAUCCUCUCCUCCUGAUGCCAAGCGCAUGGCUGACCUGGCAGGCUUUCCCUGCCUGCAGGUCAGUGGUGCCUACUCGGACCACUGCUGCCCACACCCUGGAUGAUGCCAAAGCAGACGCUCUGCCCAUCUGUCACUAGGAGCCGCCGCUGGCCUCCAACUACCCUUCCCUAAAACCUCAGCUUGGAGUAAACACCAGAUGUCAAGAUCGAGGUCUGUGGUCUCCCCUCCACAGAACACAAAGCCUCUGAUGCUUGAGGCAGCACGGCCUCUGGAAGGAGAUGGGGCUGGAUGCCCUCUGCCUCUUUCGAGACACCAAAGGAUUCUUGCAGGGUUGGAACUGCAGUUUUCAGCCUACAGCUUUGCUCUGAUGUUUACACACACUGAAAGUGUGAAACAUACGGCAAGAGAGAGAAAGAACGUGGGGGAAGAGGUCACUGCAGCUUCUCUACAAAGCACUGACUCAAGUGAUUCAGAGUAAAACUAGUACCUUGGAACCAAAUAAUUAAAAGCCUUCCAAAAACAAAGACCCUGAUUAAACCUGAUAAGUAAAGUUUGGUCAUGAAAAUCCUUAUUGGGGUCUGUAUGAAUCAUUUCACUUCUCAGGAGUUUCUGUCUAGUUGUGUAAAGACAAGCUUUCCAAAUGGUACUGCUGGGCCCAAAUGCUUCCAACCCUCCCUUCUAUGGCUAGCCUGGUAGCCUGGGGCUAAUGGCUAAACAAGAAUACGUGAAAGCGGGUCUUUGAGAAACCAUGCCAAAACCUAAAUAUAAGAAAAUAAAAUAAACAUUUAAAAAAUAAAUAAAAAUCCUUUCAAUGUAGUACUUCAGAAUCUAAUUUCCAGGGGCCAAUUGUCACCUUCAGAAACUAAUACCCACAUCUCUAUAAAGUCAUGUCAUUCUCACCAGGUAUGUUUUACCCUCAUGUAGAUGAGUGUUUCACCACCUGGACUGCACCUUGGAAUCAUCUGGGGAGAUCUUUAAAAAUCCAGAUUGAGGUCAGGCAUGGUGGCUCAUGCCUGUAACCGUAGCACUUUGGGAGGCUGAGGCAGGAGGACUGCAGUUUAAGAAAAGCCUGGGCAACAUAGUGAGUGUCCAAAAUUAAAAAUAAAUAUAUGGAUUGUGUCUCACCCCCAAAAGAUUGACUUAAUUGGCC
rnacentral:lncRNA from 1 species